UACGUAGGGGGCGAGCGUUAUCCGGAUUUACUGGGCGUAAAGCGCGUUAAGGCGGCCGGCAAAGUUGAGGGUGAAAUUUCGGGGCUCAACCCCGAAACUGCCCACAAUACUGGUCGGCUAGAGUGCGAGAGAGGAAGGUGGAAUUCCCGGUGUAGAGGUGAAAUUCGUAGAUAUCGGGAGAAACACCGGUGGCGAAGGCGGCGAUCUGGGUAGAUACUGACGCUGAGGUGCGAAAGCGUGGGGAGCAAACAGG
rnacentral:rRNA from 1 species